AUGCUCCCAACAGCCGCCUCCAAGUUAAAAGCUAGCGCGGGCCGGCACCAGCGGCCAGACUUCCUCGCGCUCUCUCUUUGGAGAACUCUUAAGAAUCGCGCCCCACCCCCACCCCCACCCCCGACUCCUGCGCCCCGGGGUCCCGUCCCUCCGGCGCGCGGGGGCUGCAGGCGCUGCAGGAGCUGCAGGAGCCGCAGGAGCCGCAGNCACGGGGCGAGCUCGGGGCCAGUCCCGCGGCCGGCGGAGGCGCCCCUUCUCCUCCUCCCUGCGGCUCCGUCCCUAUCACUCCUUCGUUCUCCUCCGAUCCUCCCCGGCUCGGCCCCAGGCAGCGAACCGCCAUUCCCCGGGGCAGAAAGCAGAGCCUCCCCUGCGCCCGUCGGUCCAGCUCAUGGCAAAGGGCGCAAGAAAACGGAAACGGGGCUGAGAAAUAACCGAGAAGUUGCUAAGUCCCGUCGGAAAAGAGACACAGUCCGAGAGGUGGUGAUUUGCAGUUUUUGCAAAAGGGAAAGGAGUGGAGACGACUGGCUAGGACUGUACAGCGACGAAGCAAGCAACUGGAGGGAUCGGCAGUUCCGCUCGCUCCCUGCUUGGAGGCAACUCCCUAGGAAAGAAGCUUUCCCGGCGCUGCUCCCGGCGCCUCCCCCGGAGGAGGCGCUGCGCCCUGCUCUCCGCUCCCUUCCCCCGAGCGGGUCCCGCGCUCCCAGCUGCUGCAGAAGGGGUGGCCGAGGCGGGUCCUCCGUCCAGCCUACCGAAGCCGGGGUGGCCUAUGGCUGGCCCUCAGGCUGAGCUCCCCGGGACGCUAGGUAAAAAGGAUUGUCUUUGGCUGCAAGGCAGGCACUGGAAACCCACAUACUUCCUCCUGUCUUGAAAAGUGACAGCCACUUCUACCGUCAGUGAUUCAAAGAUGCUCCUCGGCUCCCAGGCCAGUUGCAACAGCAGACCAGUUUCAGGGCGCACUGUGAUGCUUUGGCUGCUCCUGCUGGAAGGUCUGUUUUAAACAGCGAACCCAAGCCUUUCCCAUUGUUCCAAAUGAUGGAAAAUCUCAACAAGCUACCAAGAUUGUAAUAGCAUCAUUCGAUAGGGCUGGGGGGUGGGGGUGGGGAGCAUUCGCGUUUUACAGAGUGUUACUUAAAAAGUCCGGGAUAUGAGAGUAUUAGGCAACAGCUGCCGAUGGUGGUCGGUAAAUACAUUGACAUUAAGUGACCCUGGCCUCAAGAAGGUUUAGCAAAUUAAACCCAAAUAGUAAUUAGAAAGGAAUUAAAAGAAAUCUGGGAUCCCUGGGUGGCGCAGCGGUUUGGCGCCUGCCUUUGGCCCAGGGNUUCUCGCUCUCUCUCUCUCUCUCUCUCUCUCUGUGACUAUCAUAAAUAAAAAUUUAAAAAAAAGAAAAUUUAAAAAAAAA
rnacentral:lncRNA from 1 species